GUUGUGGUGUUUGCAUAUGUGUGCUGUGUCAGUGCUGCACACACUUUAAGAGCUGUAGUGCUGAUCAGAGUGUGUUCAGUCCUUUCAGAGCCACUGACACGCAGCACAAUGAUGAUGGUACUGAUUCUACUGCUGGGGACACUGGGACUCCUCGCUCACCAGUCCUUUGGGGAAAUCGUCCUGACUCAGUCUCCAGGAGCUCAGUCUGUUUCUCCAGGACAAUCUGUUACUCUCACCUGUACAACCAGUCAGAGUGUUUACAGUUACCUCGCCUGGUACCUGCAGAAACCUGGUGAAGCUCCUAAACUCCUGAUCUAUUCUGCAUCUUCUCGUCAGUCUGGGAUUCCAGAUCGUUUCAGUGGCAGUGGAUCUGGAACACAAUAUAGUCUAAAAAUCUCUGGAGUUCAGACUGAAGAUGCAGGAGAUUAUUACUGUCAACAGACAGGUUAUACUCCGUACACACAGUGUUAUAGCGCCGUACAAAAACCUCCCUCAGCUGUAGAGGAAGUGCUCUGAGUCAGAAACACACACUGAUCUGAGAACAGCUGCAGAUCUGCUAAAGCUGCACUCCACUGAACAUCAUCAAACGUCUUCAUGUUUAAAUAAUAAUCAUUCCUGAGAAGCAGAAAACUCUUAAUCAGCUGUUCCUUCUGUGAUGAGAAAUCAGCUGAUGUGUAUAAUGGUGUAUGAUGAUGAUUUCCACCUUCUGCUAAGAGGAGCAGCGUCUACUACACACUCCUGUAACACACACUGUAGUGCAGGAGCUUUUAAUAAGACUCAACAUUCAUUUCUAUAUUAUUCUGUAUUUUAAUCAGAAUUCUCUCAUCAUCUGUAAAGUUUAAGCACAAAACACUUUCCUUUUCUCCUCCAUAUAAAUAAACCUGAAGUGAACCGAAGACCUUAAACACACAUGACCUAAGUACCUGUUGUAAGGUUUUAUAAUAUUGUACGACACUGUAAUCUAAUAAGAUUUCUGUACCUUGAGAACAAUUUCAAUUCAGUUCAAUUCAAUUUUAUUUGUAUAGCGCUUUUAGCAAUUGUCAUUGUCGUAAAGCAGCUUUACACAAUCAAAAGAAUUAUUUAAGUUUGUAUGGAAUGUGAAUGAAUCAAAAUGAUCAAGUUGUCCCUGAUGAACAACCCGAGGACGACAGUGGCAAGGAAAAACUCCCUGAGAUGGUAAUAGGAAGAAACCUUGAGAGGAACCAGACUCAACGAGGAACCCAUCCUCAUCUGGGUGAAGCAGAGAGCAGGAAUUGAUCUGCAUUCAUACAGUGUGUAGGGUAGGAGGCAGUUCAGCAUAACAGUUAAUGUUAAUUGAUGUUAAUACGGAGUCCAGGUAGUUAUUGAAGGCCCAGUUAGACUUGUAGGAAGUUCCAGUCCUAACCUACCGAACAGUCAAGUCCUCAGAAAAACUGCUUCCAACACCAGUCGAGGCCAGAACCGUCUUCUAGGUAGAGAGAAUCAUCCUCAGACACGAGACGCAUCCCAAAGAGACAUACUGGGCAUCCAUGUGACGAGAUCUCCAACCAGAAGCGGAGCACCAGGAUGGGUCAGACAGGUCCGGAGGGCAGAGGGAGUCUGGAUCACUGGCAGCUCAGGAACGACAUGUGUAGCUCGACAGAGAGAGAGAAAGAGAGAGAGGGGGAGAGAGAGGAGAAGUGGAGAGCAGACGAGAACAGACCCCUCUUUCUCAUGCUUUAUGCGGUAACAGACGAUCCUGUAUCCAGACGAAUAUACUUUCAAAUGGCUCUUGUCCUCUACAACCCUUGUCUUUAAUCAGGAGAAUGUAAAUGUAUUUCCUCUCUCCUGUCUGUCUCCGGGUUAUGCCUGCGGGUGUGUGGUUUUCUCUCAAGGUGUAUCAAGGUGCAGCGGACACAAUAAGAAAUAACUCUUAUUCUCUUAGCUUAAAACUUAGCUUGGACUCACUCUUCUUCAUCUAAACCUAACACUGUUGAAGGUGAAAAUCACCACAAUGAAACAUAAAGCUUCAUUUGACCAAAGCUAAAUGUGAAGCCAGUGUGAUGCAGGUCUACAUGAUGAUGUAAUGACUGUAUUUAUGACGUCACUGUAAUUACAAUAUUAGCCAGUACAUUCUCUCUGUACAUUUAACAAAGGAGAAUCCUCAAACUCGUGCACAGAACCAGGACGCACCUGGACGCACCUGCUACACUGUAAAAAACAACCUUUAGAAUCUACUCAAUAAAAUUGAGGUAACAAUUUGCAUUCACUUUGUUUGGGUACAGUAGAUCCAAUCCUAUAUAUUUGCAUAAAGACUACCUAAUAUGAAUAGCUACUGUAUGACACACUUAAAAAAAUAGAUAUGGUAUACCUAAUAUUUCUUAUUACAAAUUACUUGUAAAAGUUGAGUAACAUACUUUUAUUGUUAUUAAGUUAAUAUACUGUGCUUAAUUAUUAUUAAUAAAGAUAAGCCAAAAAGAAUAAUUAAACA